GUCCGGGUGGCGGAAUAGGUAGACGCGCUAGCUUGAGGUGCUAGUGCCCUUUAUCGGGCGUGGGGGUUCAAGUCCCCCCUCGGACACCA
rnacentral:tRNA from 1 species